AUUGAACGCUGGCGGCAGGCCUAACACAUGCAAGUCGAGCGAACGGCGGACGGGUGAGUAAUGUAUGGGGACUGCCCGAUAGAGGGGGAUAACUAGUGGAACCGGUGGCUAAUACCGCAUACUAUCGGAUAAGCCUUAUGGGAUUAGCGAGUAGGUGGGGUAAAGGCUCACGUAGGCGACAAUCUCUAGCUGGUCUGCGAGGAUGAGCAGCAACACUGGGACUGAGACACGGCCCAGACUCCUACGGAGGCAGCAGUAGGGAAUCUUGCACAAUGGGCGCAAGCCUGAUGCAGCCAUGCCGCGUGUAUGAAGAAGGUCUUAGGGUUGUAAAGUACUUUCAGCGGGGAGGCGUUACCUGCAGAAGAAGCACCGGCUAACUCCGUGCCAGCAGCCGCGGUAAUUC
rnacentral:rRNA from 1 species